AUGGAGCACUGAACAGGCUGCCCAGGGGGGCUGUGGAGUCUCCUUCUCUGGAGAUAUUCAAGACCCACCUGGACACCUACCUGUGCAGCCUGCUGUAGGGAGCCUGCUUUGCAGGGGGGCUGGACUCAAUGGUCUCUGGAGGUCCCUUCCAGCCCCUACAAUUCUGUGAUUCUGUGAUUCUGUAAAUAAAAUUUCAACAACUUCACUACUCUUUAGGAGCAGACCCACACCACACAUAUAUUCUUUGCUGGUUGUAUUUGGCCUUGCAUCUGUUUACUUGUGUGUGUUAUCUGUGAGCAAAUUACAGCAUAUCUCUAUCUUGAAGGGUGUUGUAACUAAGACGUAUUUACAGAAACUGACAUUUCUAUCUAAGCCAUUAAAGCAACUAACUGCAAGGCAUAUGUCUGGAGAGAUAAAAUAGUCUUUAGAGUUCCCAUAUAUCAGGCCAGCAAUUUGGCUGAACUGUUUUAAUCAUUUCUUACUAAGGCAAAUGACCCCUAAUAAUGUUGCACAAAUCAGCCAUACAACUUAACAGGAACAUGAGGAUUUCAACUGGAAGCAGUAAAAUAUAUAUAAAAGGGAAGAAAGUAUAUAAAUCACAUUACAAAAGAGGCUCAUAGUUAGUAAAAAUGAAAAGUAUCAAAGAUAGUCUGUACCUUAUAUAAAUGGGAUCUGUGGUUCCCAGCUUCUGAAAAAUGGGCACAAUGCCCCUGACACAGAUGGAAUAACAUGACUGAAGACCUGGGCAUCUUCUCAAGGAAAGUGGACCACACCAAAGGAGUGCAGAAUUUAAACGUCCCCCUAGAGGAAUGAUGUGACAUUAAACAUUUUCUCUGAGGACUGUGCUAAACAGUUCCAAAUAGAUGUAGUGCCUGAGAUGUAGUAUCUGAAGAGAUUUCAGAUAGAGGAGCUGCUUUUCCACGAGGGUCUCCUGCUAGGCUAUGCUAGGAUAAAUUCACAGAAAGUUUUGUGUUGUUUCCUUAAUAGAAUAGAUCAACUC
ensembl:lncRNA